GACGAACGCUGGCGGCGUGCUUAACACAUGCAAGUCGAACGGAAAGGCCUCUUUCGGGGGGUACUCGAGUGGCGAACGGGUGAGUAACACGUGAGUAACCUGCCCUUGACUUUGGGAUAACUUCAGGAAACUGGGGCUAAUACCGGAUAGGAGCUCCUGCUGCAUGGUGGGGGUUGGAAAGUUUCGGCGGUUGGGGAUGGACUCGCGGCUUAUCAGCUUGUUGGUGGGGUAGUGGCUUACCAAGGCUUUGACGGGUAGCCGGCCUGAGAGGGUGACCGGCCACAUUGGGACUGAGAUACGGCCCAGACUCCUACGGGAGGCAGAAGUGGGGAAUAUUGCACAAUGGGUGGAAGCCUGAUGCAGCAACGCCGUGUGCGGGAUGACGGCCUUCGGGUUGUAAACCGGGUUCGCUCAUGAAGAAGCUUUGUGUGACGGUAGUGGGUAAAGAAGCACCGGCUAACUACGUG
rnacentral:rRNA from 1 species